rnacentral:tRNA from 1 species
GCGCGCGUAGCUCAGCUGGUUAGAGCGCCACCCUGAUAAGGUGGAGGUCCCAAGUUCGAAUCUUGGCGCGCGCA